GACGUAGGGUGCGAGCGUUGUCCGGAAUUAUUGGGCGUAAAGGGCUCGUAGGCGGUCUGUCGCGUCGGGAGUGAAAACUCGGGGCUUAACCCCGAGCCUGCUUCCGAUACGGGCAGACUAGAGGUAUGCAGGGGAGAAUGGAAUUCCUGGUGUAGCGGUGAAAUGCGCAGAUAUCAGGAGGAACACCGGUGGCGAAGGCGGGUCUCUGGGCAGUAACUGACGCUGAGGAGCGAAAGCGUGGGGAGCGAACAGG
rnacentral:rRNA from 1 species